AUUCGCGGCCUAUCAGCUUGUUGGUGGGGUAACGGCCCGCCAAGGCGACGACGGGUAGCCGGCCUGAGAGGGCGACCGGCCACACUGGGACUGAGACACGGCCCAGACUCCUACGGGAGGCAGCAGUGGGGAAUCUUGCACAAUGGGCGAAAGCCUGAUGCAGCGACGCCGCGUGAGGGAUGACGGCCUUCGGGUUGUAAACCUCUUUCAGCAGGGACGAAGCGAAAGUGACGGUACCUGCAGAAGAAGGACCGGCCAACUACGUGCCAGCAGCCGCGGUAAUACGUAGGGUCCAAGCGUUGUCCGGAAUUAUUGGGCGUAAAGAGCUCGUAGGCGGCUUGUCGCGUCGGCUGUGAAAACCUGGGGCUCAACCCCGGGCCUGCAGCCGAUACGGGCAAGCUAGAAUUCGGUAGGGGAGACUGGAACUCCUGGUGUAGCGGUGAAAUGCGCAGAUAUCAGGAAGAACACCGGUGGCGAAGGCGGGUCUCUGGGCCGAUAUUGACGCUGAGGAGCGAAAGCGUGGGGAGCGAACAGGAUUAGAUACCCUGGUAGUCCACGCCGUAAACGGUGGGCGCUAGGUGUGGGCAACAUUCCACGUUGUCUGUGCCGCAGCUAACGCAUUAAGCGCCCCGCCUGGGGAGUACGGAAU
rnacentral:rRNA from 1 species